rnacentral:rRNA from 1 species
AGUGAACGCUGGCGGUAGGCCUAACACAUGCAAGUCGAACGGCAGCACAGUAAGAGCUUGCUCUUACGGGUGGCGAGUGGCGGACGGGUGAGGAAUACAUCGGAAUCUACUUUUUCGUGGGGGAUAACGUAGGGAAACUUACGCUAAUACCGCAUACGACCUACGGGUGAAAGCAGGGGAUCUUCGGACCUUGCGCGAUUGAAUGAGCCGAUGUCGGAUUAGCUAGUUGGCGGGGUAAAGGCCCACCAAGGCGCCGAUCCGUAGCUGGUCUGAGAGGAUGGUCAGCCACACUGGAACUGAGACACGGUCCAGACUCCUACGGGAGGCAGCAGUGGGGAAUAUUGGACAAUGGGCGCAAGCCUGAUCCAGCCAUACCGCGUGGGUGAAGAAGGCCUUCGGGUUGUAAAGCCCUUUUGUUGGGAAAGAAAAGCAGCAGGUUAAUACCCCGCUGUUCUGACGGUACCCAAAGAAUAAGCACCGGCUAACUUCGUG